UGAAUUUUCAUGAUGAUAACAUAGUUCAGCUGAGUUUCUGUGAUGUGAAACAGCUGCUUUGUCUUUCGCUCCUAUCUGAAGCAUAUA